rnacentral:misc_RNA from 1 species
GUUAGGUCUGAUCAAGUUUGGAUAACCUCAUUGGUUAGUUCAGGAUGCUUAGAUGGAAAAAGACAGCUAAGGAAGAUUCUAAUGUGACCUUAGAAUGGUUGCAUUUCCACUUCCCACAUUGCUAGAUUACAUCAAUCAGAGUUUAUGCUUUACAGGACAAUGUAAAUAUUUUACAUGCUUAUGUCAACCGAAUAGUUGAUGCUAGAAUUGGUAGACAAUGUAUUAUCAAUUAAAUUGUUGUCUCCAACUGAAUUGGUAAUCAAGCUCUCAACUCGAGUCUGUUCAUGCCUGUUAUCCUGUCAACGGUGUAUGACUGACUGGAAAUAGGCUUUAGUAAGUUUUACGUAUUGCAGCUUUUGUUGUUUUGUACAAGCAACUUAUGUUUUCAUAAUGUCUGAUAAGUUGAAUUCA